AUUGAACGCUGGCGGCAGGCCUAACACAUGCAAGUCGAGCGGAUGAAGGGAGCUUGCUCCUGGAUUCAGCGGCGGACGGGUGAGUAAUGCCUAGGAAUCUGCCUGGUAGUGGGGGAUAACGUCCGGAAAUGGGCGCUAAUACCGCAUACGUCCUGAGGGAGAAAGUGGGGGAUCUUCGGACCUCACGCUAUCAGAUGAGCCUAGGUCGGAUUAGCUAGUUGGUGGGGUAAAGGCCUACCAAGGCGACGAUCCGUAACUGGUCUGAGAGGAUGAUCAGUCACACUGGAACUGAGACACGGUCCAGACUCCUACGGGAGGCAGCAGUGGGGAAUAUUAGACAAUAGGCGAAAGCCUGAUGCAGCCAUACCGCGUGUAUGAAGAAGGUCUUCGGAUUGUAGAGCACUUUAAGUUGGGAGGAAGGGCAGUAAGUUAAUGCCUUAAUGUUUUGACGUUACCAACAGAAUAAGCACCGGCUAACUACGUG
rnacentral:rRNA from 1 species